AAAACCCCAACUUCUUCCGCAUAUUCUUUCACCUUCCUGACCAAGCAAAACACAUAUUCUUCUUCUUCUUCAUUUAUAUCUGCACAUAUCUUCGAAUUCGUUUGAAUUUCAAUACACAGAUUUUGAAAUUGAAACACAACAACACUUGAUUUGAAGGUGUGUUCCUCGGUGAGAUUCGAUUCUGCUCAAAUCGUCGGAUUCGGAGCUAGAUAUCUAGAAUUUUUCUUUCCUUUUUUUUUUUGUGAUAGGUUUGAUUGAAUUAUGGUGAAAUCGGUGGAGAAUGGGACGUCGCUGCCGCCUUUCUUGGUUAAAUGCUACGAGAUGGUGAACGAUGAGUCAACGGACGCGUUGAUUUCAUGGAGCGACUCCAAUGACAGCUUUAUUAUAUGGGAUGAAUCCAAGUUUUCUUCCCAGCUGCUGCCCAAGUAUUUCAAGCACAGUAAUUUCUCCAGCUUCGUCCGUCAGCUCAAUAUCUAUGGUUUCAGGAAAAUCGACACUGACAACUGGCAAUUCGCUAAUGAGGCCUUCUUGAAAGGGCAGAAGCAUUUGCUGAAGAACAUUGUUCGAAGAAAGCAUAGUCACAAUCUGCUGCAGAACAAAUCUUCGCAACAGAAAGACCCAGAGCCUGCUCUACAUCCUGAAGAGGACAAGAGACUGGCCCUAUGGAAAGAAGUCCAGAGUCUCAAAAGUGAUAGAAAUGCUUUGACGCAGGAGUUGACAAACGUAAGACUGCACCAGCAGACUUCACGGAAUAAAAUGCUACUUUUGGCCGAACAAUUGAAAGGUAUGGAGAAAAACCAGCAACAGAUGCUUUCUUUCAUUGUCAUGGCUAUGCAAAGCCCCGAAAUCGCUCAGUUUUUCCAGCCGAAAGAGAACAGUUGGCGUAUGGCUGAAACUGGAAAAACUAAACUGAGUGAAGUCAUGGACGAUGAUUGUGAACCAACUCCCUUCGAUGGAACGAUAGUCAAGUAUCAGCCGCCUAAAGAUGCACCUACAACGCCUGAAUGCACGACAGAUGCCUUUGAUUACGAAAGUUUUAUGGAAAUUGAUUUCUCUGCCGAUGAAAUGAGAGAUUUUCUGAUGGAUACCGACUUUUUGUUAGGCCCGGAUCCAAAGGAUGAGAAGCUACUACCUCUUGAAAACCACAACGAAAUUAUUCUUCCAGAUGCACCUGAAAACGAUGCAGAUAUGGAUCAGAUGCUUUUGCCCUAUUUAUUGACAGAAAACAAAGUUCCUGUUGGGUCUGGAGGUGAGGGUUGUACCGACUCUGGGGUCCAGUUUGGAUUGGCAUUCCAGCCUGAUGAAUCUGAGAACUCAGAUGGCUCAGCUGGUGAUAUCAAUGAAGACCAGAAUGAGAUGACUGAAGCUACAAAGUUGCAAAGCUCUGAAAAAGUUGAAGUUUUAACUAGACAAAUGGGGUCCCUAACUUCUGAAAUGAGCUGAAAUCAAAAUACCUUCAAAUUCUUCCUGUAUGCAAUUGCAUUAGUGGUUAGGCUUUUUGUGGAAAUUGGUUUUGCUCAAGAGUAUGGGAACUAAGAAUCCCCUUUUUCUUGCCUCAACUGAAUGAUGCACUAUUGCAUAGCAAUGAGGACUGACAGUCAUCGAGUGCUGAAACAUAUUGAAAUAAGGCAAAAUCUAUCAAAAAAAAAGCCCUAAGAAAAUUGCCUUAUUAGUCCAAGAGUGAGAAUAAAUGAUUAUCAUCCUUGUACAAGCUUGGCCAUGGCAAAAGCAGCAGCGGAUGCGAUGGCUCCGAUGAAGGUGGUCUGAAGAGCACUCCAGAAGGGUUUGCUUCCGGUGAAAUGACCUUUGCCGUAGCCAAAGAUAAGCAACGCAAGAAGAGUAACGAUGACAGAAGCAAUUACAGCUCUAUCUGCACUGGAUAUCAACAUGUAGGGGAAAAGUGGGACUAUCCCACCCACUAUGUAAGCUAUGGCGAUCGUCAUUGCGCUCUGCAUUGCUCUCUUUGGAUCUGGCUUCUCCAAUCCCAGUUCAAACCUUUACAAAGGGAAAAAAAAUUUAAAUUUUAUAAGUAACAUAAAUAUUCAUCUUGCUCUAAUUUGUCAUCGUUUUGUGGUCUCGGUAGCACGAGAUCAUUAACUUUUUCUGAUACUGCAGUUAGUUUUUUUCGGUUUGUGUGGAAAUAGAUCUAUGCAUGACAUUUUUUGUUCUGUUA